rnacentral:rRNA from 1 species
AUUGAACGCUGGCGGCGUGCCUUACACAUGCAAGUCGAACGGUAACAGGUCUUCGGAUGCUGACGAGUGGCGAACGGGUGAGUAAUACAUCGGAACGUGCCUAGUAGUGGGGGAUAACUACUCGAAAGAGUGGCUAAUACCGCAUGAGAUCUACGGAUGAAAGCAGGGGAUCGCAAGACCUUGUGCUACUAGAGCGGCCGAUGGCAGAUUAGGUAGUUGGUGGGAUAAAAGCUUACCAAGCCGACGAUCUGUAGCUGGUCUGAGAGGACGAUCGACCACACUGGGACUGAGACACGGCCCAGACUCCUACGGGAGGCAGCAGUGGGGAAUUUUGGACAAUGGGCGAAAGCCUGAUCCAGCAAUGCCGCGUGCAGGAUGAAGGCCUUCGGGUUGUAAACUGCUUUUGUACGGAGCGAAAAGCCCCGGGUUAAUACCCUGGGGUCACGACGGUACCGUAAGAAUAAGCACCGGCUAACUACGUGCCAGCCGCCGCCGUAA